rnacentral:lncRNA from 1 species
CGGAUAACAUCCAAGGCAUUAAUUACGAAGACAGCUAUCCGCUGUCUGGCCCGUCCUGGUGGUGUCAAGGGCAUCUCUGGGCUCAUAUGGAAAGAGAACCGGGGAGUGCUCGAAGCGUCCCUGAAGAACGUGAUCCGCAAUGCGGUGACUUAACACUGAGCCCUCAAACGGUUGCGGUGUAUGCGCUAAAACGGCAGGGCCGCAUACUGGUCGGCCUCGGCGUCUGCACGGUGCUUGAAGUUUAUCUCCUCACUCCAAAAGGCCCGUUUUAGGGCCCCCCAAAGACACCAGACUGCUGACUUACAGCUCUGGGAGAAGGAAGCAUUUCUACCUGGCAAAACCUACGUCUUCACGGUGGACACUUCUAAGCCGCGGAGGAUUCCCGCCCUGAGCAAUUAUAGAGUGGCUUGUAUGUAAAUAGGACGAGUGGACUUUUCGUCUCCGAUUGGAUAGAAGGCGUCAGAGGGGGCGGCUCUCGCUUGUGCGGCCCGUCCCGUCUCUGGGACCAGAGAUGUUGAGAUGUCCAAUAGGAAAGCGUGAGAUGCCGGCCUAGUUUGGCGCGCCGUGGUCCGGCCGGGUUUGAAUUAUUUUAUUUUUUCGCUGACUUUUUGAGUUAGAGGUAACCGAGCUCAGACGCCAGAUGCAGGGCGGCCGAGUGCGGGCGAAGUCCAAGGCCGGGCCUGAGCCCGCGGCCCCUGCGCUACCCGUGGGUCCGCUGCACAAAGGUAGCCGCGCCGAGCAGAUCCUUUUCUCUUUUGAACUAAGGCCUGUGUGUACAGGCUGGAUGGGAGACAGGCUUGCACAAUACAGCAACCGAGUUCUACAGUUCAUUGUUUGGCUGUUAUCCUGGGAGCAAAUCACCCGUGGUGUGACUCUUCAACCCCAGGUGAGUGAACAUUGUUGGGAAAAUCCCAUCAAUCAUCUGACACGCCUACCCACAUCCAAACUCCAACAAGGUCACAGCUCAGCCUUUCUGGCUUGA